GUGGGGGAGAGGAGGAAGAGCGUCUGCUGGCACAGGACCCCUUGCCUGCUCCCAGACAGGAACCCAGCAGAAGGGCUCUGCCACGGACCCGACACCUCCCACCUCCACAACUCUGCUUUCUCCCACUUGGGAAAAGCGAGGCUGACACCCACGGCAUCCCCUGCCCCAGGACAUAGACCUCACUCCCGAAGAAGCCGGGGACUGAAGUGCUGCAGCACCCGCUGCUCCUGGCCGGGCUGGAGCCUCUCUUCAGAAGGGCAGCAGCUCGCUUGUCACAGACCCUGGACUGCAGAAAAGCUGAUUCAGGGAUUUCCGGGCGGCUCCUCCUGUGGGGGAGUGUGCAUCUGCAUACCUGGGUGUUGGGAAGGGUGUGUGCGUGUGUUCAUGUGUGGGCUGGGGGAGAGGACACAUGCCUGAGCCCCUCUAGUCAGGUCUGCUGACCCCUCACUGUUCUUCAGAUGGAAAGGGGGACCUGGGGUAAAGGGCUCAAGGUCAGAUGCUCAGCAGGAGGGCACCAGGGGUUUCCCCCCACUCUGCUACACUCCCGUAACCUACCCCCACCUCGUCAUCCCACACUGAGGAGGGGACCUGUCACCUGAGAUGGGUGUGCGGGCUGAAGAGCAGUACCUGCUGCUCCUCUUCGGUUUCUCCCUGGGGAGAAAAGUGCUUCUGUUUUGAAAUCUCCCCCAAACCUUCUUUUGCUAGGACGAGGGAGGAUGGGACUCAAAUUUCAUUCAGCAGGCUGGAUUCAGGUUCGACUUUGGGGUUUCCUGAUGCUAAGGGUCUGGGGCAGCAUCCUGCUUGACAGGGAAAGCUUAUGCCUUCACGAUUGGAAUGUAGUGCUGCUUAGAUGAAAAGGGAUGGAUGAAAUGACCCCCAUGGUUCCUUCUGAUAAAAUGGACCAAGAGACGCCUGAGCCUUAUGCAAAGCUGCCUCCAGUAAAAUAAAGUCUAAUUACAGAAA
rnacentral:lncRNA from 1 species